AAACCAGCACCUCAAGUGGUCAGGAGGUUUAUUGGGCCUAAAGCAUCCGUAGCCUGCUCUGUAAGUUUUCGGUUAAAUCUGUACGCUCAACGUACAGGCUGCCGGGAAUACUGCAGAGCUAGGGAGUGGGAGAGGUAGACGGUACUCGGGAGGAAGUGGUAAAAUGCUUUGAUCUCUCGAUGACCACCUGUGGCGAAGGCGGUCUACCAGAACACGUCCGACGGUGAGGGAUGAAAGCUGGGGGAGCAAACCGGAUUAGAAACCCUAGUAGUCC
rnacentral:rRNA from 1 species